UACGUAGGGUGCAAGCGUUGUCCGGAAUUAUUGGGCGUAAAGAGCUCGUAGGCGGUCUGUCGCGUCUGCUGUGAAAACUCAGGGCUUAACCCUGAGCUUGCAGUGGGUACGGGCAGACUAGAGUGCGGCAGGGGAGACUGGAAUUCCUGGUGUAGCGGUGAAAUGCGCAGAUAUCAGGAGGAACACCGGUGGCGAAGGCGGGUCUCUGGGCCGAUACUGACGCUGAGGAGCGAAAGCGUGGGGAGCGAACAGG
rnacentral:rRNA from 1 species